AUAAAUUCAAAUUUCUGAUGGAGCGGUUUG
rnacentral:piRNA from 1 species